AUGGCAAAAGAUAUUAAUAAAAGAAAACAGAACAAUAAAACAGAGCAGAGAGCACUUACCUGGCGCCAGCAACCGGCCCAGCUACUGUGCUGGCAGCCCACCGGUGCGGCCCAGCCCACCAGGCGUCCCCCCCUGUCGUCUUCCUCCCUCGCCAAAAGGACAGAGGCGUGUCGCCCGCGCGCGCGCUCGCCGUGGCCACCUCCUGCUUCCACCGAGGCGUUCCCGAGCCUCCCCCUCGCGCCACCGCGAUGCCACGAACCCCCCUGGUGGCCCUCUCUCCUCUCCCUCACUCGCUGCUCUCCUUCCCCUCUCCCUCUUCGUUCUUCGCCCGAUCAGAGAGCCGCCGCCGUCGUUCGCUGCCACCACGCCCACCAUGCUCCUCUCGCCUCCCCGUGCAGUCUGCAAGCUCCGCCGUUCCGCCCUCGUCCUCCUCGUCGUCUCACGCGACCAGAAGGGCCCCGAGCAGCCACCAUCGUCAUUGUCUACGAGCUUCGGCUCCGGCGCCUUCUCCGUCGAUUCGGCCACUCUGGCGCGCCCUCGAGCCCACUAACCAUCCCUGCAGCUCCGCAGUGA
rnacentral:rRNA from 1 species